rnacentral:tRNA from 1 species
AUUUAAAUAGCUUAUAUUAGUAGAGUAUAACAUUGAAGAUGUUAGGGAAAUUGUAAUAAUUUUUAAAUA